rnacentral:rRNA from 1 species
AUGAAUUAUGCUUAUGGAGAUGAACUUGCUAUAGUUUCUUAUGUUAAAUGUGAAAUUGUUGCUAUUGCACCCACGCAUGAUAGUCCUAUUAUCUUUUUGAAUUCUCUCGACUACACCAUAUCGGAGAAGUUUGUGCUUAUUAAGGAUUAUAUUGAUGGGUUGCGUUUUACUACUACACAUGAUGAUUUUGAUGAAUGUAAUAUGCAUGUGCUUGCUGCUCCUACUUGCAAUUAUUAUGAGAGAGGAACUAUAUCUCCACAUUUCUAUGUUUCCAAUAUGAUAAAAUUGCAAGAAACUGCUUAUACUAUGCAUUGGCCUUUACUAUGUGUGCAUGAAUUGUUCUUUUAUGACAUGCCGAUGCAUAGGAAGAGAGUUAGACUUCGUUGUUGCAUGAUAUAUGUUACUUUGUGCUCACAACUAAAUUACAAAUCAUUGUUAAUUAAAAUUGGCUUUGAUAUACCUUGGGAUCCGGGUGGAUUCAUUACUUGA